CAGUAGCCACGGGAAUACGAAGGGGGCUAGCGUUGCUCGGAAUGACCGGGCGUAAAGGGCGCGUAGGCGGAUGGCACAGUCAGAUGUGAAAUUCCCGGGCUUAACCUGGGGGCUGCAUUUGAUACGUGUUGUCUAGAGUGAGGAAGAGGGUUGUGGAAUUCCCAGUGUAGAGGUGAAAUUCGUAGAUAUUGGGAAGAACACCGGUGGCGAAGGCGGCAACCUGGUCCUUGACUGACGCUGAGGCGCGAAAGCGUGGGGAGCAAACAGGAUUAGAUACCCCCGUAGUCCCUGUCUCUUAUAC
rnacentral:rRNA from 1 species